rnacentral:RNase_P_RNA from 1 species
GGUGGGAGGAAGCUCACUGUAGAGCUCACUUGCUGAGUGUCCAAUCACUCAAUAUCUCUGCUCGGGGAAGGUCUGAGACAAAAGCCGAUCACUGCCCUUGCAGGGCAUCAUCCUAUCUGGGUGAGUGAGGAAACAGAAAUCCUGGUCCAAGUGUCUCUAUAAGCAGAGGAAACGCGAUUGUCAACAAUGAAACUGGCACCCGUGUAGAUGCAGUGACACUGGGAUUGGAAAAGCCUCACGGCUGGCAAUUCUGAGUUCAAUGUGUGAGGUGAGGCACAUGAGCCUCACAACCUAAUUCAGACUACUCUCCUUCCACC